rnacentral:rRNA from 1 species
CCUACGGUGGGCUGCAGUGAGGAAUAUUGGUCAAUGGACGGAAGUCUGAACCAGCCAUGCCGCGUGCAGGAAGACGGCUCUAUGAGUUGUAAACUGCUUUUGUACAAGGGUAAACCUGAAUACGUGUAUUCAGCUGAAAGUACUGUACUAAUAAGGAUCGGCUAACUCCGUGCCAGCAGCCGCGGUAAUACGGCGGAUCCAAGCGUUAUCCGGAUUUAUUGGGUUUAAAGGGUGCGUAGGCGGAUGGAUAAGUUAGAGGUGAAAUGUCUGUGCUUAACUCGGGAAUUGCCUCUAAUACUGUUGAGAUAGAGAGUAGAUGCGGUAGGCGGAAUGUAUGGUGUAGCGGUGAAAUGCUUAGAGAUCAUACAGAACACCGAUUGCGAAGGCAGCUUACCAAGCUAUAUCUGACAUUGAGGCUCGAAAGUGUGGGGAUCAAACAGGAUUAGAUACCCUAGUAGUC